rnacentral:rRNA from 1 species
GGGGAAUAUUGGACAAUGGGCGAAAGCCUGAUCCAGCCAUGCCGCGUGAGUGAUGAAGGCCUUAGGGUUGUAAAGCUCUUUUACCCGGGAAGAUAAUGACGGUACCGGGAGAAUAAGCCCCGGCUAACUUCGUGCCAGCAGCCGCGGUAAUACGAAGGGGGCUAGCGUUGUUCGGAAUUACUGGGCGUAAAGCGCACGUAGGCGGACGCUUAAGUCAGGGGUGAAAUCCCGAGGCUCAACCUCGGAACUGCCUUUGAUACUGGGUGUCUUGAGUAUGGUAGAGGUUGGUGGAACUGCGAGUGUAGAGGUGAAAUUCGUAGAUAUUCGCAAGAACACCAGUGGCGAAGGCGGCCAACUGGACCAUUACUGACGCUGAGGUGCGAAAGCGUGGGGAGCAAAC